rnacentral:rRNA from 1 species
UGCAGUCGAGCGGACAGAUGGGAGCUUGCUCCCUGAUGUUAGCGGCGGACGGGUGAGUAACACCUGGGUAACCUGCCUGUAAGACUGGGAUAACUCCGGGAAACCGGGGCUAAUACCGGAUGGUUGUUUGAACCCCAUGGUUCAAACAUAAAAGGUGGCUUCGGCUACCACUUACAGAUGGACCCGCGGCGCAUUAGCUAGUUGGUGAGGUAACGGCUCACCAAGGCAACGAUGCGUAACCCACCUGAGAGGGUGAUCGGCCACACUGGGACUGAGACACGGCCCAGACUCCUACGGGAGGCAGCAGUAGGGAAUCUUCCGCAAUGGACGAAAGUCUGACGGAGCAACGCCGCGUGAGUGAUGAAGGUUUUCGGAUCGUAAAGCUCUGUUGUUAGGGAAGAACAAGUACCGUUCGAAUAUGGCGGUACCUUGACGGUACCUAACCAGAAUGCCACGGCUAACUACGUGCCAACACCCGCUGUAAUACCUAAGUGGAAAGCGUUGUCCUGAAUUAUUGAGCGUACUGGGCUCGCAGGCGGUUUCUUAAGUCUGAUGUGAAAUCCCCCGGCUCAUCCGGGGAGGGUCUUUGGAAACUGGGGAACUUGAGUGCGAACAGGAGAGUGGCAUUCCACGUGUACCGAUGAUAUGCGUAGAGAUGUGGAGGAACACAGUGAUAAAGCCACUCCUCUGUCUGUACUGACCCUGA